GAAUUUUGGACAAUGGGGGCAACCCUGAUCCAGCCAUCCCGCGUGUGCGAUGAAGGCCUUCGGGUUGUAAAGCACUUUUGGCAGGGAAGAAAAGGCUCUGGCAAAUACCUGGAGCUGCUGACGGUACCUGCAGAAUAAGCAACGGCAAACUACGUUCCACCACCCGAGUUAAUACGUAGGGUGCAAGCGUUAAUCGGAAUUACUGGGCGUAAAGCGUGCGCAGGCGGUUCGGCAAGAAGGAUGUGAAAUCCCAGGGCUUAACCUUGGAACUGCAUUCUUAACUGCCGGGCUAGAGUAUGUCAGAGGGGGGUGGAAUUCCGCGUGUAGCAGAGAAAUGCGUAGAGAUGCGGAGGAAUACCGAUGGCGAAGGCAGCCCCCUGGGAUAAUACUGACGCUCAUGCACGAAAGCGUGGGGAGCAAAC
rnacentral:rRNA from 1 species